UCAAAACAGCGGCCUUCGGGCCUCGCUGCACCCUUGUCUUUUGCGCACCGUAUUGUUUCCUCGGCGGGCUUGCCUGCCGGUAGGACAUCAUAAAACCUUUUUGUAGUUGCAAUCAGCGUCAGAAAAACUAAUAAUUAUUA
rnacentral:misc_RNA from 1 species